AUUCGCCGAGCACCUAAAGAAAAAAAAUUUAAAAUCGUGAAAAAUUCAAUACAGGAAAUGGAUUAAGGCCAGCCUCUGUUUUGAUCGUGAUUCAUUGUUAUAAAAAAACAAAACAAGAAGGUGUUACCUUCAACGUAAAUCCAAUUAGAGAACAAGUGAAAAAAACAAAGAAAAAUGAAAUGUUCGAUGGCCUUUGGAUUUUCCGUGUUGCAAAGGGUUGCAACGCAAUGUUCGUUGACCUGUUCGAAUCAGAAUAUGACGGCCUUGUUAAGUUACUCCACUUCCCGCGUGUUUCCCCGCUCUUGAUUUCUGACUUUUCAAAGACUUCCGCGUCUCGUAAACGAAAUGCAGCUAUUCUCCCUACAACAUAUGGAUUAUUAUCGCGAGAUUUUUCAAAACUCAAACGGGCGAGACAUGAGGCAUCUGUAGACGCAAUAGCCCGUUUUCAUUUCUUUUUUUACUGUUCCAUUUCGGGUUCUCGUGCCAAGGCUGAAACUGUUUUCUUUUACUUUCUUGAAACAGAUGAAUUUCUUUUUUAUGUCAUACUGACAAGGAGAAUCAGUGCCAUUAAUUAUUCAGAUUCGCGUAGCCUAUUGUGGGACUACCCUUCGUUUCUCUUUGUUUUGAAACGAAAAGAAAAACAAAUCGGUCUGGAACGCAGUGUGCAUUAUUGAAAGGUGUAUAGCAACAGGUUAGCCAAACACAAAAAGGUUCACUUUCAUUUUGUAUAGCUUCCAUUUUGGUCAAUCCACAAAUGGUUGUAACCCAUUUCUGCCAUUAAAAGUUCGAGGUUUUUUUGGUAGAGCUACUACUACAACUACUACUACUACACCAUUGUGUCCACUAUCCCGACACGAGAAAAGCGUCAACCGACAGGAACGUUUGACACUCGUUCGUGUUUUCUUUGUUUUUUCGAAUCGAAAAUCAGCUGAUUGGUUUUCUACUCGACCUAAUCACCAAAUGAAGCAUAACGAAGGUGAACUGGCAUUGGCCAUGAAACGUGCCCGUUGAAUUGUGGUGCAUUUCAUUCGGGGAAGCCGAUGCAAUUUGAUGGCUAAAAUUCGAUUUCUUUUUCUUAUGGCUGCCCAAAAUGAUUCAUCUACGUAGCAGACGACAACAGGUUUUUCUAUAGUCUGCUUUUCUCUCCGUCUACUGUGGAAAGUCACUUUUCUCGUUUCUAAAAAAGAAACGUCGUUUAACCGUAUCGACUAUAAACAUAUUUCCGUUUUCGGUCAAACGAAUUUUCAAUUCUUUUUUGUUUUUCAUUUCUGUAUUUCAUGUUUCCAUUUUCAGUGUGUGAACGUGAGUCAUUUCUCUGCUACGGUCUGUGUGGAAAAAAGAAGUCAACAGAUUUCAAAAAAACAAAACAAACAAAUGGAUUUCUCUGGAAUUGCAGUGCUUGGAUCUCAUCUCGAGCUGGAAUGCAAAUGGACGGUCAGACAAGGUGUUGGCAUGUGCAUAUGCACUAAACAAAAUAGGCUUCGUGAAGGCCGUCGCAGUUUGUAUUAGGCUGGACUACUUUAUUUUUAAUUCUUUUGUCUUUCUCAUUCUGUUUUGUGUUUAUUCCUUUUCUCUUCUGCUCGAACUCUGGCAAUCGACGUAAUCAAACCGUUAUUUUGUUUAGCACUUUCGUACACUCAAGGUUGUGAAGCUUUCAAGAGUUGCAGUAAUAUCGUUAUCAUCCACUCUAAUUGCAAACUUGCAAUCGGCUCUGAUUUUCACCGACACGAACAAUUUCCCAACGUAAUUCCUAUCUGUGUACUAAAAACGAUGGAUUUCUUUAUGGUUUUUCGUUGGAGAGGGUGAAAAAAAUCAAACAAGAUACGACCGGUUUUGUUUCAAACAUUUUCAAGGAAGUUGGCAAGGUUGCAUUCCCAGGAAACUGACGAUAGAUGACGUGGAUUUUCGCCGUUACCCAAACAAAGAUAAUUCAGUCAGUGAACAGGUUAGCUCAAACGCUUUCUCUCAGCCAAAAACGAUGGGCAUCUAUCAUCUGCGAAACUGUGGCAUCACCGUUCACAUCAUCAAGCACGUGAGUUCCACCUUUCUAAUCAGGGAAAAACAAUUAGAAAGCCAUUCUUCGUUCUACCCAAACAAUCGGUGAACGGUACAGCCAGGGCGAUCACAAAUGACGUUGGCAAACUGAAGAAUUGCCCUUUCAUCCAGCAUAGUGUAUAUGGAACAAGUGGAAAGCACAUUGAAAAACAUCGUUCAGGAGAUGUCGAUUGGAGCUCAUCAAAACUUGUGAAGCAAUCUUCGGUAACUAUUGGUCCUCUUUGUUCUUUGUUUUUAACUGCAAACGCCGUCCUAUAUUUCCUAUUUGCGUAAUACGUAUACCGUUUCGAUUUCUAUACGCCACCUGGUGGUAAAUCUCUUGAUGAUGACGUCAAGUCCGAAUGGUGAGAAACACAAAUACGCCUGGAUUUUUCGUGGUUAAUUUGCAGAAACGUAUUUAGAGCAUUAACGAAUGAUCACCAAAUUUUGUGUUAUCGCUUUUCAGUCAUUUGCUACUGUAAAUAUUGUAAUUUCGAUUAGCAUUGAACAGAAUUUCCUCUCAAUUCGAUGAGACUGUCAUUUGUUUUGUUCUGUGGAUCACCCAGUCGUUUUUUUAAUUUAAGUCAACUGAUCUAUUAAAAAACUUUGGUUUCUCCUUUUCCUCGUAGAUUUCAGAAUACUACAAGGCUUUUUAAUCCAUUAACAUUUCAAGAUGAUUAGAAACUUCUGGUAUGGCCGUUUUGGUAGGUCGGUAUCAGCUAGUGACUUGCCUGUCAUUAGCUCACCAUGACAUGUCCACAUCAUUUUUGAUAUGUUUUCCUAAUUGUCACAAACUUUUUCUUUUACAUUCAGAAUAGAAGAUAAUCGUUGUUAAAUUCCCUGUAAAGUUCAUUAAAGACAUUGGGCAAUUUUUUAUUCCAAAAUGAGCUGCAAAGCGAAAUUGACGAGGAAACUGCAUAACGGUGUUUCAGCACCCAAAUUCAUAGUAUAUAAGGGUUGGUGUGGACAUUACACAGUAGCGACCAUUAUUAUGAUUAGGUAUGCAUGCGUCUAGUCAUGAAUGGCAUUUCUAGUAGCACGAUACAAGAGUCUGUAAGGAACAGAUGAAGCAAUCGCG